rnacentral:rRNA from 1 species
AUUGAACGCUGGCGGCAGGCCUAACACAUGCAAGUCGAACGAGUGGCGGACGGGUGAGUAAUGUCUGGGAAACUGCCCGAUGGAGGGGGAUAACUACUGGAAACGGUAGCUAAUACCGCAUACCAUCGGAUGUGCCCAGAUGGGAUUAGCUAGUAGGUGGGGUAAAGGCUCACCUAGGCGACGAUCCCUAGCUGGUCUGAGAGGAUGACCAGCCACACCUGGACGACGACACGGUCCAGCUUCCUACGUGAGGCAGCAGUUGUGAAUAUUGCACAAUGGGCGCAAGCCUGAUGCAGCCAUGCCGCGUGUAUGAAGAAGGCCUUCGGGUUGUAAAGUACUUUCAGCGGGGAGGCGUUACCCGCAGAAGAAGCCCCGGCUAACUCCGUGCCAGCAGCCGCGGUAAUAC